rnacentral:RNase_P_RNA from 1 species
AGAGUUGGCUGAGCAGUCGCUGUCUCACUUUAUGUGGGAUGGAGGAAAGUCCGGGCUCCAUAGGGCGGAGUGCCAGGUAACGCCUGGGGGGCGUGAGCCUACGGAAAGUGCCGCAGAAAAUAUACCGCCGGAUGCAAAUUCGGUAAGGGUGAAAUGGUGCGGUAAGAGCGCACCGCGCAACUGGCAACAGGUGUGGCAGGGUAAACCCCACUCGGAGCAAGAUCAAAUAGGGGAACAUACGCGUGGCCCGCGCGGUUCCCGGGUAGAUUGCUUGAGCUGCAGGGUGACUUGUAGCCUAGAUGAAUGGCUGUUCCAGACAGAACCCGGCUUACAGGCCGACUCUUGAU